rnacentral:rRNA from 1 species
UACGUAGGUCCCGAGCGUUGUCCGGAUUUAUUGGGCGUAAGGCGAGCGCAGGUGGUUUAUUAAGUCUGGUGUAAAAGGCAGUGGCUCAACCAUUGUAUGCAUUGGAAACUGGUAGACUUGAGUGCAGGAGAGGAGAGUGGAAUUCCAUGUGUAGCGGUGAAAUGCGUAGAUAUAUGGAGGAACACCGGUGGCGAAGGCGGCCUGCUGGACUGCAACUGACGUUGAGGCCCGAAAGCGUGGGGAGCAAACAGG